rnacentral:rRNA from 1 species
CAGUCGCCGCGGGAAUACGGAGGGGGCUAGCGUUGUUCGGAAUUACUGGGCGUAAAGCGCACGUAGGCGGCUUUGUAAGUUAGAGGUGAAAGCCCGGAGCUCAACUCCGGAAUUGCCUUUAAGACUGCAGAGCUAGCAGGUGAGAGAGGUGAGUGGAAUUCCGAGUGUAGAGGUGAAAUUCGUAGAUAUUCGGAAGAACACCAGUGGCGAAGGCGGCUCACUGGCUCGAUACUGACGCUGAGGUGCGAAAGCGUGGGGAGCAAACAGGAUUAGAUACCCGGGUAGUCCCUGUCUCUUAUAC